rnacentral:misc_RNA from 1 species
GAUCGCCGUAUGCGAUGAAAGUCGCCCGUGCGGUGAAGGCUCGUUAUAAAACUUAGAAAUAUAUAGAAGGUAUAAGACGAGAAU